rnacentral:rRNA from 1 species
UACGAAGGGGGCUAGCGUUGUUCGGAAUCACUGGGCGUAAAGGGCGCGUAGGCGGCCGUUCAAGUCGGGGGUGAAAGCCUGUGGCUCAACCACAGAAUGGCCUUCGAUACUGGACGGCUCGAGACCGGAAGAGGUCAGUGGAACUGCGAGUGUAGAGGUGAAAUUCGUAGAUAUUCGCAAGAACACCAGUGGCGAAGGCGGCUGACUGGUCCGGUUCUGACGCUGAGGCGCGAAAGCGUGGGGAGCAAACAGGG